UACGUAGGGCGCAAGCGUUGUCCGGAAUUACUGGGCGUAAAGGGCGCGUAGGCGGCACUGUUAGUCAGGCGUGAAAGUCCUGGGCUCAACCUGGGAACUGCGCUUGAUACGGCAGAGCUAGAGGAUGGAAGAGGCUCGCGGAAUUCCCAGUGUAGAGGUGAAAUUCGUAGAUAUUGGGAAGAACACCGGUGGCGAAGGCGGCGAGCUGGUCCAUUACUGACGCUGAGGCGCGACAGCGUGGGGAGCAAACAGG
rnacentral:rRNA from 1 species